UACGUAGGGGGCAAGCGUUGUCCGGAAUUAUUGGGCGUAAAGAGCGCGUAGGCGGUCCGGUAAGUCGGCUGUGAAAGUCAAGGGCUCAACCCUUGAAAGCCGGCCGAUACUGUCGGACUAGAGUCCGGAAGAGGCGAGUGGAAUUCCCGGUGUAGCGGUGAAAUGCGCAGAUAUCGGGAGGAACACCAAUGGCGAAAGCAACCGUCUGGGCCUGAACUGACACUGAGACACGAAAGCGUGGGGAGCAAACAGG
rnacentral:rRNA from 1 species